rnacentral:rRNA from 1 species
UGAGGAAUAUUGGACAAUGAACGAAAGUUUGAUCCAGCAAUACCAUGUGAGUGAUGAAGGUUAUUUUUUUACUGUAAAACUCUUUUUUUAAUCAAGAUAAUGACAUUAGUUAAAGAAUAAGCUCCGACCAACUUCGUGCCAGCAGUCGCGGUGAAACGGGGGGAGCGAGUAUUACUCAUAGUGACUGGGUGUAAAGGGCAUCUAGGCUGUAUUUUAAGUUAUAUGUGAAAUAUUAAAUAAUUAAGUUUAAUAGUGUAUAUAAUACUGAUAUACUAGAGUUUAAAAGACGAUAGCAGUACUUUUAGUUAAGAGGUGAAAUUCGAAGACAUUAAAAGGACUAUCAGCAGGCGAAAGCGGCUAUCGAGUUUAAACUGACGCUGACAUGCGAAAGUAUAGGGAG